AUAUAUUCCCGAGUGCUCGUUCACGCCCUAACACCUGCAAUGACUUUGUUGACAGCUGAGCGGGUCGGGGUUCGAGGUGGGGUCAGGGUCGGGAAUCAGGCAGGAGCCGCAGAUGGUUAUUUAUGUCACUUAUGUGACGAAACCGAGGAAUUUUUAGAAAUCGGUCACAUCCUUGCGUUUUGGAGCUAAUCUCACAGAGAAAACUGUUAAGUAACUUGUAGCUCACUCAGAUUUAUAUUUAGUGAUUGAAACGAAGAGCAGGACAAGAAUUGAUAUUUAUUUUAAUCAAUUUCCUCCCCGCAGGGAUUUUCAUUUAUUCAGCACUUCCGAUCCGAAAUGUGCGGCUGAGCGCUCGUAUUGCCUACUUCUGAGCGCAAUUGGAGUACAAAGGCAAACAAUGGUUUUGAGGUCGGUUCUCAACUGCCUGGACUGAGCCCUCGAGUCGAGCCUGUUUGUUUGUGUGGCCUGCACUUCACUUAAUUGAAUCAGUGUGAUUGACACGUCUGCUCUGCAUAUAUGGAUGGGCUUCGAAUGGAACAGAGUGUGUGCUCAGUGAUGAUCUCUGGCCAGCUUUGCCUUGCCCGUGCGAGUGCAGGGUGUCCUUUUGUGCAGCAGUCACAAUGUUCAUCAAUUAUCAACUAAAAAGAGCCCAGGCAGGGGGACUAGAGCACAAACAGAAAAAGCAAUAAAUCUAAACAAAAGGCCUCCGGGGCCAAGUCGCAUGGAGUGGGGGUUACAAGGACAUGGCCAUAGAUUAUGCCCAUGUAUUCAGCAGCUGGAAAGUCUUGUUUAUGGCCACCUUUUCCCCUGUCGCUACCUUCCCCCGGCACAACAGCGGCCAAAGGCCAACGAAUUGGCCUUAGAUUUUGGUUCGUUGCCUGGUCGGGAUGGAGUGGCCAUAAACCAGCUCGAUUCUGGUAUAUUUUCGACCAAGAAGUCCCUAAAAAUAGGUUCAGGCAAAAGCGGCACGUUUGGACCAAAUACUGAGGACACAGAGUACGAGUUAGCACUUAUUUGGUAGCCAAAAAACUGUGUUUUUCUGGGAGUUGAAAAUUGGCAGUGUUGAAGCCUUGUACAAAUACAAUUUAAGUAAGACAACCUUGGCAACAAAGUUUGUGCAGUGGAAAUUUUCGCUUCUCUUGCUCGUUUUUUACUGCUCGCUCGACAUUUUCGCCUUUAUAUGCAGUCACAUGUGCGGGGCCAAAAAAUGCCGGGGAAAAGGGUUUUAAAGCCAGGAAAAAGGGGCGUCAAGUGUGAAAAAGGGCGGGAAAAUAUGUGAAAGAAAGGAUCAAAACGAGGAGGAACCCAGAAGGACGAAAGCGCAGGAGAAACGUUCUUGCCAAGAAAAACUCAUCGGUUGCAACACGCAGACAAGAGAAAGGAUACCGAGCUGCUACGCAAGGCGGAAAAGGGGGAAAGUGGGGUUGGCAACGGGCAAAAGGGGCGUUGGUGGGCGUUCAAAGGCAGUCACAUGGCAAACAUAAGUCGCACACUCAAAUCAAUAGCUUUGACAGCUCGGCAUUGUUUGAAAAACGAACCAAAAGAGUCAGACCAAGAAAGGAAGGUUGAUCGAAUAAGAGAUAUACAAGUGCAGGGGCGUGGUGCUGGGGGUUUUCCGAGGGGACUCGGGUGGGCGGGUAUGCCUCUGUAUGUGUGCCAAUUGCAUUCAUUUGACUUGACUUGGCUGCCAAUUGUCUCGAUGCAAUGGAAAAUUUCUGGCAUACGUCAUUGGAAAAUCGAAAUCAAACACAAAACUAACAAAACAAAUGGAAAGAAAAUCAAAAUUGAAAUGCGAAGAGCUUCUGCCAAUUUGUAAAUAUUUUAAAUCAUCAUUGCUUGAGAUUUUGCGUGUAUUUUGAAUUCGAAUUGUUCAUAGCUUUGACAAGUAAAAUAAAUAAUCGUCACCAAAAAAUCAAAAGAAAGCCUUGAUAUGCUAUUAUGUUUUAAACGAAAUGGUAUAGUUGAAGUAUUGCUUUCAGUUUAAUGUUUAUGGACUAAUAGUUCUUAUUAGUGGAUUGGCCUCUUUAUUAAAUUCGUAAUUGCUGAAUAUAACGAAAAAGCGAAUCAGUAGCACGUGCUUUUCCUGUACAUUUCCUCGCAUCUGGCAAAGGAAAAAUAAAUAAAUACAUUCAAGCAGAUGAGUAAUGAAAACUUAAAGAGACAGCCGGCAAUGAACGAAUUGGCAAGAGAAGAGCGCACAAGUUGUUCAAGGAUUGCAAAUUGCAAUUACAAAGACAACAAAAAAAUCGGAUAAAGCUGCCAGACGGACCAGCAACAACAACGCCAGCACAUCAACAAUGAACUGGCAAAGUAAAAGAUAAAAACUACCUUGGCCCAGUAUUGAAAGCGCCUAUAAAACUCAUCACUGCAGUGUGUGGGUGUGUCUUGCAUGUAGAUACAAUGCCCGUGCACUGGCUACGUAGAAGAUACAGGGACCAACUGAUUCAGCUGCUGCAGCAGUAACACCAAUAACAAGCUGCAAUAAAUGUCACUGCACACCACCGAACACCCCGCAUCUGCCCCCUCCCCUCGAGUAGCAAAAGUGCAUUGAAGACGUGACCAAGUCGCCAAAAAAGCUCACAGCCAAGACAACUUUCGUUUCGUUUCAUUUCAGUCUCAGUGCAACGUGGCGUAUGGGUACUGCGAUUCUUUGUGCUGCACUGAGCAAAAAUAGCCGUUGGUCUGGCCACCAAUCUGACAUUGUCGUUCGCUUCAAGUGUGAGUGAGUGUGUUGUUAGACUAACAUCAAAGUUUGGAAGGGAACAAGUGCACUAAAUAACACAUUUUAAGGGCCAAUUCUUAAGCAGACAUAAAGAGUACAUACAACCUUUUUCGCCGUGUAGAAGCAUAAAAUUGAAGAGUGCCGAGCAUGAGCAGAAGGAAGGUUGAUCGGGUGUUCAACAGUCUUAUCAGUGACAAAGUUUGCCCAAGUCAUGCACUCGACAUAUUUGUCGACCAAAGAUUGGAGGAGGCACCAGCAGACGGCGCAGAAAUGUGCAAAACCGAGGAGGAGUAGGGGCAAACCUGGCCAACCUCAAUGCUGCCGUUGCAGCCUGAUAAGACACACACACUGUGCAAAUUGGCCAAGUCAUAAAGGCGAACUCAAUUUGCUGUUGAUCACGUUUUUUAGCCAUUUCCCGCAGCCAAACUAGUGCAACAAUGGAAAUCUUUUAUUACCAAAGAAGUGGGGCAGCCAAAUAAAAGAGUAAGGCCAAAGAAACACAAUUAAAA